GUGAAUCAUCGAAUCUUUGAACGCACCUUGCGCUCCUUGGUAUUCCGAGGAGCAUGCCUGUUUGAGUGUCAUUAAAUUCUCAACCAACAACGGAUUUCGAUUCAUUUGUUUGGCUUGGACUUUGGGGGUCUGCCGUUCUUGAUACAGCUAGAUCGGCUCCCCUUUAAAUGCAUUAGCUGGAACGUUAACUCGUUGCAGACUACGGUGUGAUAAUUAUCUACGCUGUCUGGUCUGUGAAAGAGGUUCUGCUUCUAAUCGUCCUUCACUGUGACAAUGGGUGGGAGUUUACUCUUCUGCUUGACAUUUUGACCUCAAAUCAGGUAGGACUACCCGCUGAACUUAA
rnacentral:rRNA from 1 species